UGGUCAGGAUGAACGCUAGCGGCAGGCUUAACACAUGCAAGUCGAGGGGUAACGGGGCGUAGCAAUACGCUGCCGACGACCGGCGCACGGGUGCGUAACGCGUAUGCAACCUACCUUGUACAGGGGGAUAACGGAGUGAAAAUUCCACUAAUAUCCCAUAGUGUUGGAGAUUCGCAUGUUUCUCCAACUAAAGCUUCGGUGGUACAAGAUGGGCAUGCGUGACAUUAGCUAGUUGGUAAGGUAACGGCUUACCAAGGCGACGAUGUCUAGGGGAGCUGAGAGGCUUAUCCCCACACUGGUACUGAGACACGGACCAGACUCCUACGGGAGGCAGCAGUGAGGAAUAUUGGUCAAUGGACGGAAGUCUGAACCAGCCAUGCCGCGUGGAAGGAAGAAGGUCCUAUGGGUUGUAAACUCCUUUUGUCCGAGAGUAAUAAGGUCCUUGCGAGGACCGAUGAGAGUAUCGGGCGAAUAAGCAUCGGCUAACUCCGUGCCAGCAGCGGC
rnacentral:rRNA from 1 species